GAAAAGCACUUUGGAAAGAGAGUUAAAGAGGCCGCAAAACCGUUGGGAGGGAAACGCAUGCAGCCGGACCGGCCAGCAUGGAGUUCACGGGGCUGCCGUCAGUCGCGUUCGCCGUCGUCACCGAAAGGGUCGGCGGUGGGCUCCGGCUCUCGGCACCCCUGCACUCUCGGUGCUUCGGGCCGGCCAAGCGCGGCGGGAUCUGGGCGACGAGCUCGGUCGGGCAGGUAGCGCAGCCGCCUGGCGGAGGCCAACUUAUAGCCGGCCGAACGGAGCGUCCGGGACCCGCCGAGGAGAGCGGUGGCACUUCCACCCAAGCAGCGCAGGCCGCUCGUCGGCGGGGGCUCUCUGGCUCGUUGGCGAGCCGCUCCGCGUCACUGCGUGCAGUGGCCGGGGACGGUGCGCCUCCGGGUCGGGGGUAGCUCACUCCUUGCGCUCGGGCCGCUUGGCCCGACGUCGGCUGCAUCCGACCCGUCUUGAAACACGGACCAAGGAGUGCAACAGUUGUGCGAGUAUUCGGGCGUCAAACCCGGGUGAUGCGCAAUGAAGGUGAAGGCGGGACUAGUGGCCCGCCGAGGCGAGAGCCGCUUCGCGCGGCGCAUCGUCGACCGAUCCG
rnacentral:rRNA from 1 species